rnacentral:rRNA from 1 species
AGUCUAGUAUGAAGAUGAAACGUAUAAAUAUUGUCUCUAAGCUUACUAACUAUAAAUUAAUAUAAGGGAUGAAAAUAUCCUUAACCCAAAUAAUAGACGAGAAGACCCUUAGAAUUUUUAUAAAAAUUUCCAAUUUAAGUAAGUUUUCUUUUUGUUGGGGCAACAUUAUUUCAUAACUAAAUAAAUCAAACAAUAGAAAACUAAACAUUCCGAUUUAUAUUUAAGAUUAAAUUACCUAAGGGAUAACAGCAUAAUUUAUGAAUAAGUUUGUGACUUCGAUGUUGGA